GUAGGUGGCAAACGUUGUCCGGAAUUACUAGACAUAAAGCGCGCGCAGGCGGUCCUCUAAAUCUGACAUGAAAGCCCACGGCUCAACCGUGGAGGGUCAUUGGAAACUGGGGGGACUUGAGUACAGAAGAGGAAAGCGGAAUUCCAAGUGUAGCGGUGAAAUGCGUAGAGAUUUGGAGGAACACCAGUGGCGAAGGCGGCUUUCUGGUCUGUAACUGACGCUGAGGCGCGAAAGCGUGGGGAGCAAACAGGAUUAGAUACCCUGGUAGUCCACGCCGUAAACGAUGAGUGCUAAGUGUUAGGGGGUUUCCGCCCCCCUUAGUGCUGCAGCUAACGCAUUAAGCACUCCGCCUGGGAGUACGGCCGCAAGGCUG
rnacentral:rRNA from 1 species